AGUUUGAUCCUGGCUCAGGACGAACGCUGGCGGCGUGCCUAAUACAUGCAAGUCGAACGAACUCUGGUAUUGAUUGGUGCUUGCAUCAUGAUUUACAUUUGAGUGAGUGGCGAACUGGUGAGUAACACGUGGGAAACCUGCCCAGAAGCGGGGGAUAACACCUGGAAACAGAUGCUAAUACCGCAUAACAACUUGGACCGCAUGGUCCGAGUUUGAAAGAUGGCUUCGGCUAUCACUUUUGGAUGGUCCCGCGGCGUAUUAGCUAGAUGGUGGGGUAACGGCUCACCAUGGCAAUGAUACGUAGCCGACCUGAGAGGGUAAUCGGCCACAUUGGGACUGAGACACGGCCCAAACUCCUACGGGAGGCAGCAGUAGGGAAUCUUCCACAAUGGACGAAAGUCUGAUGGAGCAACGCCGCGUGAGUGAAGAAGGGUUUCGGCUCGUAAAACUCUGUUGUUAAAGAAGAACAUAUCUGAGAGUAACUGUUCAGGUAUUGACGGUAUUUAACCAGAAAGCCACGGCUAACUACGUGCCAGCAGCCGCGGUAAUACGUAGGUGGCAAGCGUUGUCCGGAUUUAUUGGGCGUAAAGCGAGCGCAGGCGGUUUUUUAAGUCUGAUGUGAAAGCCUUCGGCUCAACCGAAGAAGUGCAUCGGAAACUGGGAAACUUGAGUGCAGAAGAGGACAGUGGAACUCCAUGUGUAGCGGUGAAAUGCGUAGAUAUAUGGAAGAACACCAGUGGCGAAGGCGGCUGUCUGGUCUGUAACUGACGCUGAGGCUCGAAAGUAUGGGUAGCAAACAGGAUUAGAUACCCUGGUAGUCCAUACCGUAAACGAUGAAUGCUAAGUGUUGGAGGGUUUCCGCCCUUCAGUGCUGCAGCUAACGCAUUAAGCAUUCCGCCUGGGGAGUACGGCCGCAAGGCUGAAACUCAAAGGAAUUGACGGGGGCCCGCACAAGCGGUGGAGCAUGUGGUUUAAUUCGAAGCUACGCGAAGAACCUUACCAGGUCUUGACAUACUAUGCAAAUCUAAGAGAUUAGACGUUCCCUUCGGGGACAUGGAUACAGGUGGUGCAUGGUUGUCGUCAGCUCGUGUCGUGAGAUGUUGGGUUAAGUCCCGCAACGAGCGCAACCCUUAUUAUCAGUUGCCAGCAUUAAGUUGGGCACUCUGGUGAGACUGCCGGUGACAAACCGGAGGAAGGUGGGGAUGACGUCAAAUCAUCAUGCCCCUUAUGACCUGGGCUACACACGUGCUACAAUGGAUGGUACAACGAGUUGCGAACUCGCGAGAGUAAGCUAAUCUCUUAAAGCCAUUCUCAGUUCGGAUUGUAGGCUGCAACUCGCCUACAUGAAGUCGGAAUCGCUAGUAAUCGCGGAUCAGCAUGCCGCGGUGAAUACGUUCCCGGGCCCUGUACACACCGCCCGUCACACCAUGAGAGUUUGUAACACCCAAAGUCGGUGGGGUAACCUUUUAGGAACCAGCCGCCUAAGGUGGGACAGAUGAUUAGGGUGAAGUCGUAACAAG
rnacentral:rRNA from 2 species